GCCGUUGUGGUGGAAUUGGCAGACACCCGGGACUUAAAAUCCCGUGGGAGCGAUCCCGUACCGGUUCAAGUCCGGUCAACGGCACCA
rnacentral:tRNA from 1 species